rnacentral:misc_RNA from 1 species
AAAGUCGUAACAAGGUUUCCGUAGGUGAACCUGCGGAAGGAUCAUUACCGAGUUAGGGUGUCUCUCUCGACGCCCGACCUCCAACCCUUUGUCUACCUGACCUUAUGUUGCUUCGGCCGGCCCGCCCCCUCCUCUCUUGGGGAGGGAGCCGCCGGGGGUGCUUCACCGCCCCCUGGCCCGCCGCCGGCCGGUAGCCCGUAUAAACUCUUGUUAAAAAACGUGUCGUCUGAGUACGUGUUAUACCAAUAACUAAAAAACUUUCAACAACGGAUCUCUUGGUUCUG